rnacentral:rRNA from 1 species
AACGAACGCUGGCGGCAGGCCUAACACAUGCAAGUCGAGCGCGCCCUUCGGGGUGAGCGGCGGACGGGUGAGUAACGCGUGGGAACGUGCCCUUUGCUACGGAAUAGUCUCGGGAAACUGGGGGUAAUACCGUAUGUGCCCUUCGGGGGAAAGAUUUAUCGGCAAAGGAUCGGCCCGCGUUGGAUUAGGUAGUUGGUGGGGUAAUGGCCCACCAAGCCGACGAUCCAUAGCUGGUUUGAGAGGAUGAUCAGCCACACUGGGACUGAGACACGGCCCAGACUCCUACGGGAGGCAGCAGUGGGGAAUCUUAGACAAUGGGCGCAAGCCUGAUCUAGCCAUGCCGCGUGAGCGAUGAAGGCCUUAGGGUUGUAAAGCUCUUUCGUGGGGGAAGAUAAUGACUGUACCCCAAGAAGAAGCCCCGGCUAACUCCGUG